UUUGUAACCUACCUCUGACUGGAGGAUAGCCCGAAGAAAUUCGGAUUAAUACUCCAUAAUACUAUGGACAGGCAUCUGUUCAUGGUUAAAGCCCCGGCGGUCAGAGAUGGGCAUGCGUGACAUUAGCUUGUUGGUGAGGUAACAGCUCACCAAGGCUACGAUGUCUAGGGGGUCUGAGAGGAUGGUCCCCCACACUGGUACUGAGACACGGACCAGACUCCUACGGGAGGCAGCAGUGAGGAAUAUUGGUCAAUGGGCGAAAGCCUGAACCAGCCAUGCCGCGUGAAGGAUGACAGCCCUAUGGGUUGUAAACUUCUUCUGUACGGGAAGAAACGCUUCUACGUGUAGAGGUUUGACGGUACCGUACGAAUAAGCAUCGGCUAACUCCGUGCCAGCAGCCGCGGUAAUACGGAGGAUGCAAGCGUUAUCCGGAUUUAUUGGGUUUAAAGGGUACGUAGGCGGGAGCUUAAGUCAGUGGUGAAAUCCUGCAGCUUAACUGUAGAACUGUCAUUGAUACUGGGCUUCUUGAAUGUAGUUGAGGUAGGCGGAAUGUGUAAUGUAGCGGUGAAAUGCUUAGAUAUUACACAGAACACCGAUUGCGAAGGCAGCUUACUAAACUACGAUUGACGCUGAGGUACGAAAGCGUGGGGAGCGAACAGGAUUAGAUACCCUGGUAGUCCACGCUGUAAACGAUGAUCACUCGUUGUUGGCAAUACACCGUCAGCGACUGAGCGAAAGCAUUAAGUGAUCCACCUGGGGAGUACGACCGCAAGGUUGAAACUCAAAGGAAUUGACGGGGCCCGCACAAGCGGAGGAACAUGUGGUUUAAUUCGAUGAUACGCGAGGAACCUUACCUGGGCUUAAAUGUAGAACGACGGACCGGGGAACUGGUCUUUCUUCGGACGGUCUGCAAGGUGCUGCAUGGCUGUCGUCAGCUCGUGCCGUGAGGUGUCGGGUUAAGUCCCAUAACGAGCGCAACCCUCAUCAUUAGUUGCCAGCGGGUAAUGCCGGGGACUCUAAUGAAACUGCCGGUGUAAACCGAGAGGAAGGUGGGGAUGACGUCAAGUCAGCACGGCCCUUAUGUCCAGGGCUACACACGUGUUACAAUGGUCGGUACAAAGGGCAGCUACCUGGCGACAGGAUGCUAAUCUCGAAAACCGAUCUCAGUUCGGAUCGAA
rnacentral:rRNA from 1 species